GCGCUCGUAGCUUAGUGGAUAGAGCAUCGGUUUGCGGAACCGAAGGUCGUGCGUUCGACUCGCACCGAGCGCG
rnacentral:tRNA from 1 species